GACGAACGCUGGCGGCGUGCUUAACACAUGCAAGUCGAACGGUGAAGCGCCUUCCUUUUUGGUGGGUGUGGAUGAGUGGCGAACGGGUGAGUAACACGUGAGUAACCUGCCCCCUUCUUCUGGAUAACCGCAUGAAAGUGUGGCUAAUACGGGAUAUUCUGGGUCUGUCGCAUGAUGGGUCUGGGAAAGAUAUUGUUUCGGUGGGGGAUGGGCUCGCGGCCUAUCAGCUUGUUGGUGGGGUGAUGGCCUACCAAGGCGGUGACGGGUAGCCGGCCUCAGAGGGUGGACGGUCACACUGGGACUGAGACACGGCCCAGACUCCUACGGGAGGCAGCAGUGGGGAAUAUUGCACAAUGGGCGCAAGCCUGAUGCAGCGACGCCGCGUGAGGGAUGGAGGCCUUCGGGUUGUGAACCUCUUUCGCCAGUGAAGCAGGCCUGCCUCGUUUGUGGGUGGGUUGACGGUAGCUGGAUAAGAAGCGCCGGCUAACUACGUG
rnacentral:rRNA from 1 species